rnacentral:rRNA from 1 species
AGUGCGUGAAUUCCCGGUGUAGCGUUGAAAUGCGUAGAUAUCGGGAGGAACACCUGUGGCGAAAGCGGCGCACUGGACCAUAACUGACGCUGAGGCGCGAAAGCUAGGGGAGCAAACAGGAUUAGAUACCCUGGUAGUCCUAGCCCUAAACGAUGAUUGCUUGGUGUGGUGGGUACCCAAUCCCACUGUGCCGCAGCUAACGCGAUAAGCAAUCCGCCUGGGGAGUACGGUCGCAAGGCUGAAAUUCAAAGGAAUUGACGGGGGCCCGCACAAGCGGUGGAGCAUGUGGUUCAAUUCGACGCAACGCGAAGAACCUUACCUGGGCUCGAAGCGCAGUGGACCGGGGUAGAAAUAUCCCUUCCUCGCAAGAGGCUGCUGCGGAGGUGCUGCAUGGCUGUCGUCAGCUCGUGUCGUGAGAUGUUGGGUUAAGUCCCGCAACGAGCGCAACCCUUAUCCCUAGUUGCCAUCGGGUCAAGCCGGGCACUCUAGUGAAACCGCCCAGGAUAACUGGGGGGAAGGUGGGGAUGACGUCAAGUCCUCAUGGCCUUUAUGUCCAGGGCUACACACGUGCUACAAUGGUCGGUACAAACCGUCGCAAACCCGCGAGGGGGAGCUAAUCGGAAAAAGCCGGCCUCAGUUCGGAUUGGAGUCUGCAACCCGACUCCAUGAAGCUGGAAUCGCUAGUAAUCGCGGAUCAGAACGCCGCGGUGAAUACGUUCCCGGGCCUUGUACACACCGCCCGUCACAUCACGAAAGUGGACUGCACUAGAAGCCGGCGUGCUAACUCGCAAGAGAGGCAACCGUCCAAGGUAUGGUUCAUGAUUGGGGUGAAGUCGUAACAAGGUAACC